GUUGAUAGUAUGAUGUAGUACUUUAUGGCCCUUUCCCAUCUAUCGUGAUCAGUGUGUUGUGUAUAUUCAAUGGCUUGCAGUUCUUGCCAGUGCUAAAUAUGUACAAGCAGUUACUGGUAUACUUGUUUAUUUGUUUUCCUCUGUUGCAUUAACUUAAAUAAUUUCCAAUGUCACCUUAUACGUGUACUGCUUUGCCACCCGUCUUUACUUUUGUACAGACAGCAACUUGUCAAAAUAAAUAUGCAACUCUUUGUUGUGGAUCAACAGCGUAGUCAAGCUCUUGAAACUCAUGCAGCCACAUUUGCCUCAUUCAAAGUGUGUUUGGUUCCUUAAACUUAUCUUGCAUGCACAAUUGAUGCUCCUUUAUGGUAUGUUUGAGAUUUAUUGGGUCGUCUUAUACAAAUUCUGGGAAAUGAGAAUCCUUCCUUUCUUAUUUCUUUUGCUACAAAAUCGGUAAAUGCUAGACAGAUUACAUCAAAGUUUCAUGUUAUUGAGCUCGGGUAAAAACGAAUGCAUGUAUAUGAUCAUGGAGCUACUGUUACAUUGUGCUGCUGAGUUGUUUUUCACGACUGAUUUUUUUUUUCAUAACGAUGCAUUAUGGCUAAUUACGUUUCUGUAUCUUAUUUGCAAAAUGUUCUUGUACAAGCUGGGCAAACACCACCUUUGUUGCAGUACUUUGGAGCACUUUGGACUAAAGGGAAGUUUAAUGCAUUUGAGUCAUUGGAAUUGUCACAACUUGUGAUGAAUCAGAACAAGAAAAAUCUUUUGGAGAACCGGUUGGCUGAAGAUAAGUUGGAGUGUAGUGAAGAACUUGGAGACCUUGUCAAGGUUCCAUCCAUUCAUCCAUCUCUAUAAUAAGGAAGCUCAUAUUUUUUGAAUCCAUGUAUUUUCAACCCUUGGCUUUUGAUCCAACAGCCUUCGUCUAAAGAAGAGCAAGCGACUCUUUCCUCUCUCUGUGUUAACCAUGGGAUUGCUCCAUAAAGAGCCCACUUUAAUCCAAUGGGCUUUCAGAUUUGAUUUGGACUCACAUAUAGUCACAGACAGUAGCAACUCAUUCAACCUAUAGUACAUGAGUGAGGAUCUUGAACUUCACUUCAAGUACAAUGAGGUUGCUGCCAAGAUUAGACAAAUUAAGGAGGUUGAACUUAUGACAAGAGAAUCGAAUUUCUAUAUGCUGAAAAGUCAAAACUUCUUGAUGGAAGCAAAGCUUCCCAAUGCAAGUCCAUUUAUUAAUGUAUGCGAUCGUUUUGAGUUUGUUCCAGAUCUGACCCACUAUCUUUAUUGAAAAAAUAUGCUCCGCUACAUAGAAGGUUACGUUCAGAAGGUAAGAGUACUGUCAAGGAUCUUAGAUACAUUUUUGUCACUUGAAAUUUCGAACUUCUACUAAGGCACAGUGCUGAACUCUUCUGGAAUUUCUUUGUAUAGGGUAACCCAAGAAAAGCUCCAUUUGUGGGAGGGCAAUUGCUGGAUGAUGAGGCCCUGAAGAUUUUAUUAAAGGCCUAAUUAUCUUUGUCCGUUCUCUGCUUCUAGUUGAACCAUCGGAGUGUAAAAUCGGUACAGUCUGACCCUCCUUCCUUGCAGGUCAGGAAAAGACUCACCAUCUCAUUGUCGGCAUUACCCUUCCCCAUCAUCUUCCCUGACACUAUCCACCCAAACAACACAACCCUCUCUGCCCCAUGGUCCCGAUCUAGAAAUCACCCUCCACUAUCCAGCUCCUCUUCAUCUGUCCACUGUCACAUCUCGUCGACGGCUUUUCCAGUAGCCCUUCCACUCUCCACUAUCACAACCCCAUCCAUCCACUAUCACAACCCGUCUCUUCCUCAUCCAAAAAAAUCAAUAUCGUGUGAAAACAUCAGAAAACAGAAGGAGGGCUAAAUUAAAGAAGUCAGUUGAGCUUAAAAGCCUUAAAUGAUCUGGUUUGUGACCUUCAUUGGCUAAUGAGGAGGGGAUUCGGUGUCUAGAAACCUAAAUACAGAGUCCCCACUUGGGUAAGAGUAGUGGUUGCUCUCUCUUUCUCUCUCUCAUGUGCCAUUCUUUAGACCUAUGGCCAAUAGCAAAAAAUCGUUUGAAACGAUCAAUGGAGGCGGCCACCACUGCAGAUCCGUGGACAAUGGCAUGCUCCCGGGCAAGUAUGAAUUUCCCGGGAGCUCUUGCUCGAUCUCGCCUCCAUACUCUCUCUCUCUCUCUGUUUGGGUCCGAUUUUUUAUUGUGAAAUGAUCAAAUUAUACAAGGGUGGCGAUAAUGCCACAAGAUGUUUUUUUUAGAGCCACGACAACUAACUCGAUUUCACAAUUCUGCUAUAUUUAUUUUCAACUUAUGAUUUGUGCAUACUGACUAGUGCAAUAUUUCUAUUACUUUUAAGCAUUGGCUCAUUUUCAAUCUAUUUAGGCAAGAACUUUGUGUUACUCACAACUUUUAUGACAAGGUAUGAAAAUAAAACCCAUUAUUCUUGUAUUGCCUCCAACAUCAUUUGCCCAAUGUCUUAUUUCUUCCUCUCAUUGUGUUGUGAAUAUGUUCAGACCACUUUUCAAACCGGCCAUCA